rnacentral:rRNA from 1 species
GCACAAGCGGUGGAUGAUGUGGAUUAAUUCGAUGCAACGCGAAAACCUUACUACCCUUGACAUGUCCGGAAUCCCGAAGAGAUUUGGGAGUGCUCGCAAGAGAGCCGGAACACAGGGUGCUGCAUGGCUGUCGUCAGCUCGUGUCGUGAGAUGUUCGGGUUAAGUCCCGCAACGAGCCGCAACCCUUGUCAUUAGUUGCCAUCAUUUGGUUGGGCACUCUAAUGAGACUGCCGGUGACAAACCGGAGGAAGGUGGGGAUGACGUCAAGUCCUCAUGGCCCUUAUGGGUAGGGCUUCACACGUCAUACAAUGGUCGGUACAGAGGGUUGCCAACCCGCGAGGGGGAGCUAAUCCCACAAAGCCGAUCGUAGUCCGGAUCGCAGUCUGCAACUCGACUGCGUGAAGUCGGAAUCGCUAGUAAUCGUGGAUCAGCAUGUCACGGUGAAUACGUUCCCGGGUCUU